rnacentral:rRNA from 1 species
AACGAACGCUGGCGGCAUGCCUAACACAUGCAAGUCGAACGAGACCUUCGGGUCUAGUGGCGCACGGGUGCGUAACGCGUGGGAACCUGCCCUUAGGUUCGGAAUAACUCCCCGAAAGGGGUGCUAAUACCGGAUAAUGUCUUCGGACCAAAGAUUUAUCGCCUUUGGAUGGGCCCGCGUUGGAUUAGCUAGUUGGUAGGGUAAAAGCCUACCAAGGCGACGAUCCAUAGCUGGUCUGAGAGGAUGAUCAGCCACACUGGGACUGAGACACGGCCCAGACUCCUACGGGAGGCAGGAGUGGGGAAUAGAGGAAAAUGGGGGAAAGCCUGAUCCAGCAAUGACGGGUGAGUGAUGAAGGCAUUAGGGUUGUAAAGCUGUUUUAACCGGGAUGAUAAUGACAGUACCGGGAGAAUAAGCUCCGGCUAACUCCGUG